AUUGAACGCUGGCGGAAUGCUUUACACAUGCAAGUCGAACGGCAGCACGGACUUCGGUCUGGUGGCGAGUGGCGAACGGGUGAGUAACAUAUCGGAACGUAUCCAAUAAUGGGGGAUAACUAAUCGAAAGGUUGGCUAAUACCGCAUACGCCCUACGGGGGAAAGCAGGGGAUCUUCGGACCUUGCGUUAAUGGAGCGGCUGAUAUCUGAUUAGCUAGUUGGUGAGGUAAAGGCUUACCAAGGCGACGAUCAGUAGCUGGUCUGAGAGGACGACCAGCCACACUGGAACUGAGACACGGUCCAGACUCCUACGGGAGGCAGCAGUGGGGAAUUUUGGACAAUGGGCGCAAGCCUGAUCCAGCCAUUCCGCGUGAGUGAAGAAGGCCUUCGGGUUGUAAAGCUCUUUCGCAAGGGAAGAAAACUUACUUUCUAAUAAAGAGUGAGGUUGACGGUACCUUGAUAAGAAGCACCGGCUAACUACGAGCCAGCAGCCGCAGUAA
rnacentral:rRNA from 1 species